UGAGGAGCGAAAGGGUGGGGAGCAAACAGGCUUAGAUACCCUGGUAGUCCACCCCGUAAACGUUGGGAACUAGUUGUGGGGUCCAUUCCACGGAUUCCGUGACGCAGCUAACGCAUUAAGUUCCCCGCCUGGGGAGUACGGCCGCAAGGCUAAAACUCAAAGGAAUUGACGGGGACCCGCACAAGCGGCGGAGCAUGCGGAUUAAUUCGAUGCAACGCGAAGAACCUUACCAAGGCUUGACAUAUACGAGAACGGGCCAGAAAUGGUCAACUCUUUGGACACUCGUAAACAGGUGGUGCAUGGUUGUCGUCAGCUCGUGUCGUGAGAUGUUGGGUUAAGUCCCGCAACGAGCGCAACCCUCGUUCUAUGUUGCCAGCACGUAAUGGUGGGAACUCAUGGGAUACUGCCGGGGUCAACUCGGAGGAAGGUGGGGAUGACGUCAAAUCAUCAUGCCCCUUAUGUCUUGGGCUUCACGCAUGCUACAAUGGCCGGUACAAAGGGCUGCAAUACCGCGAGGUGGAGCGAAUCCCAAAAAGCCGGUCCCAGUUCGGAUUGAGGUCUGCAACUCGACCUCAUGAAGUCGGAGUCGCUAGUAAUCGCAGAUCAGCAACGCUGCGGUGAAUACGUUCCCGGGUCUUGUACACACCGCCCGUCAAGUCAUGAAAGUCGGUAACACCUGAAGCCGGUGACCUAACCCUUGUGGAGGGAGCCGUCGAAGGUGGGAUCGGUAAUUAGGACUAAGUCGUAACAAGGUAACCGU
rnacentral:rRNA from 1 species